UUCACAAUGUAAAUACAAUAUUUCACGUAAGUAACGCGAGCGAAACGAAGUAGGAGAAAUAAUAACAUUCGUUUGUUGAUAUUCGAUUUAUUAUUACGUAGAUCGAAAGUCGAAGUCGCUUCUUGUACACAGAACGGAACGGACGUGUUUCUCUCUGCUCCUCGACCGAAUAUUAUAUCGUAUUUAAUAAAUGAAUAAAGUGCAAAUAAUUAUAAAUAAAUUAAAUAUCAAUUGUAAAAAAAGUAAAGAAACGUAAUAAAAGAUCGAAUCGCCCGUUUCGCAACGAUAUAUAUAACAUAAUAUAUAAUAUACAAACAAUGUAAUACAUACAACACAUAAAUAAUAUAUUUUAACCAAAUAAUAAAUAAUUAAACUUAAUAUGCACGUAUGAAACGUUGAACAUUUAAUGGAUUAAGUCAAUUUAAUUUUUUGAAUCGUUAUAAACAAGAAUUUUCGAAUAAAUUUUUGUUACAUCAAGAUUGAAAAAGGAAGAAGAAGAAAAGAGGAACACACGCUUUCGAAUAAAAGGAAAAGAAAGCGUUUCUUUUUCGAAAGGAAGUUUUUUCCAGAUAUAUCACCGAUGGAUUUAAUUAAAAAUUUUGGAAACGAAAAAAAAAAAAGGAAGAAUCGUACACGUGGAACGAAUGGAAAAGAGCGUAGCGAAGGGAGGAAAGAAUCGAUCGAUCAUCAAUGUGCCGUACGACUUUUGAAACGCGUGGAUAUUUUAUGGUGGCAAACAAUGAUCCACUUUAAUAAAACCCUAAUUGCGAUUAAAUCGAUCGCCGUAGACAAAGGCUUUGAAAAAUGUUUAUGGAAGUGUGUAAUUUAUAAACGAUAAGUUAAUACGUUCAAAAUUUGUACAAUACAAUAGAAAUUACAUUCUUUUCAAGGAGAUUCAAAACAAACGAAACGAGGUUGUUUUAUUGGAGGAGGGGAGGGAGGGAAAAACGUGUAACGUUCCCCGCAUGAAAAGUGUGUAACACGAAAUGGAUUAAACGAGGGUGAGAUAAAUGGGAAAAGAAGAAACGGGGGAACAUAAAUCGAGCUGUUUUUAUCCCCGUUGGAUCAUCGAUGGAAGUACACGUCUCCUAUAAUCCAACCUAAAAUCCUCUCUUGUCCACCCUCUUUGCCCCAGCUUUUUUUACACGGCGUUCGAGCGUUGUUUCCUCGAUUAAAAUGACUCGCAGUACGAAUAUUUACAAAAUUCGAUCGCAAAUUAUUAAUCGAAUAGUUGAUCACUUUGAAAAUUCGAGAAGAUUUUUCUUUGUAGAAAAUCUAAUUCAAGUAACGAAGAUUAAAAAAAAAAAAGAAAAAUUAACAAACUUAAGUCGUUAAGGUUAAAGAAAUUAUUUAUGUCAUAAAUUAUUAAAUGUUCCCGUCGCUAUUAUAAAUAUAUUCUCUUUGAUUUUUCUCGUCACUGGAGAGAAUAUAAUCCAGCUCCGAAGUGGAAUGUUUUACGAGCAUGAGCUCGUGAAUACAGGCAUUUUCCGGUCGAAGAAUCUCGGAAUAAAAGACUUCUUUUCAUGGUCACCGAUGUCGUAAGUACCGGGUUUGCCGAUUCGGAACGGUGUCUCGAUUCCCAUAAAAUCACGACCGUGACCUUAAACGAGAUUAGGGGAGCCCGGUCCAGCCAUCUUUCUUCCCUCUUGUGAUCCAAGGGAAAAUGCUCGCGCCUGACCUAUGCCAAUCGAUCCUUGAACUCAAUGGAAUGCAGAGACAUUGGUUUAAUUUUUUCUUUUUUUCAGAUCUUUCGAGAUAUCUUUUUUUUUUGGGGACAGUUUUCUCAAAAGAAUUCAAUUUUUCUCUCUUCGCAUCAAGAUUUAUUAUUGCAAAGAAUUGUUGACUAAUUUUAUUUUAUUUUUUGACAAAUUGUUAUUUUUGGAACGUAAUAUUUUUCCAUUCGUGAAUAAUCUUCUCCACGUUGGUCAAGUAUCGUGCUCGCAAGAGGGAAUAUAAAGUCAAAUCUGAUUGAUUCAAUUGAUCGUAAACGAGGCGUAAUCCACGUUAAUCACCCAAAGGGUGCAACGAAACAAUAAACGUUGAACAAUCGUCAAUAAAGCGGUGAGAACUCGAAGUUUAACGAACAUCGUUCGUUCGAACCUUCUCUCUCUUUCUCUCUCUCUCUCUCGUCAACUCGUUAAACAAUCGUUUUGAUCCUGUUUUUUCCUGUUAAGGAUUCGAGAUUCGAGACGGCGAGGAGUAUUUCACGGUGCGACACGCGUCUUCACGAAGCGAACAUAUACAUGUUCCCUCCAUCUAGUAUCUAGGUUAAAUGGCCGGCCGUGAAAGGAGAAUGAUUAUUAGCGGUGAAUUUUCUCAACAGUACACCGAUCGAAGAUCAUUACCGGCGUGUAACGCGAAUCUUUUGCAAUUAUUUCGUGACAGCAAGGACAAUUUCACCUGGUUUCCUUUGCAACAAGGAAUCUCGAAAGCUCCAUCGUUAUUUACGUGUUAGGAAUCGCGGUUAAUCUCGUGAAAUCUUCGAUACUUCGAAAUGUUAUAUACGAUGUUAAUUCGGAUUCGAGAGAGGUAAUUAUUAUAGAAAUUGGCCAAUUGAGGGGAUUUCUAAGGGGAAGGAUUAUAGAUCAUAGUCAUAGUUAUAUUUUUAACUUUUACUGAAUUAUCGUUCAAUUCUUUUUUUUUUUUUUUUUUUCUAAUUCUGAUCAUCACGAGGCGAAAGUAUUAUUAAACGAUACGAGAUAUAACGUGGUAUUGCAUAGUAUAAUAAGUAUACUUUUUUCAAAUUGAAGAAUCUUUUUCACGUGAUGUGCACUCAAAUCUUAAUAUCUUUAUAUUUAUUAUAUACUUUUCUUUAGAAUUUAUAUUGUACUUUGAUAAAUGAAUUUAGUUUGCACAUUCUUGAAAAGGAUUCUCGUACUUUGUUUGUCAUUAUAAAAAUCGUUGACAAUUUUGACAAAUCUUCUCAAGAAUCUUCGAAUCUCAAUUUGAAUCACUCCAUACCUUGUAUACCCAUAAUCAUCAUCAAUAUCAUUUCCUUUCCCUUUAAACUCGAAAGAAAGAUUUUUCCCAAGGAAAAUUACGGCAUUUAACCAACGAUGUUCACGAUGACUGAUGCGAAUUUAAAACUGUCGUCCGUUUCCAGGAUCGAAGGAGUGUGCCUCUAAUCCCGAGAAAGAAAAGGCCAGUGUGGAAAAGGCGGAGAAGCAAAAGCCGAUAGAUCGACCCAGAAUUCGUCGCAGAGAUCGCGCGCAAUUUCUCAACUUGUCGUAGCUUUCCACCAACCAUCCGAUCCCGCCUGUAAAAACUCGUGACACGUGUAGGAUGGCUUAACGACUGUCCGCAAGAAAACCGCCGCUACGCAAUUACGCCGCGGCGCAAAAAUGGCCGAGCGGAGAGAAGAGGCGAGGUGAUCGAUCAGCACGAUGCAACGCGAAAUAAAACCAAACCGGUUACGUACACAACGUAUUUUCUAACCGACUUGCGGCGAAAACGCUUCACUCGAAUCGUUCGCCAGCUCAGAUGCAAAUUGAAUUUCAACUUUCCACGCGAGGAAGAAGAAGAAGAAGAAGAAGAAUUCGAACGAGAAUACUCCUCUUACACGCGACAAACGAAAUACCUUUCGUUCCAUUCUACGUUUCCACGCGAAACGGAGCAUCGAAUCGAUCCGAAGAAGCAUCCUUUAACCGAUACUCGAUAAGACAACGAGGUGAAACACGAUGAUGAUAUCACUAUCCAACACCUUGCGACGAAAUGAAACACGUCAAGGCCAUUCUCGGAAAUAUAAAAAAUUGACCAGAGGAUUCUCGUGUAGAUAAAAAGAUGCGUAAUUUAUAUCUGUCGUAUGAUACGACAGUGAAAGAGUCAAAAAUACACGCAUUCGUGAAAUACAAAUCGUCCCCCAGAGGAUCAAAAAUUUUGUAAUUUGUACGUGGCUGGAUUGUAAAAAAAAAAAAAAAAUAAAAAAAAAAAGUAAAACGUGUACGAGAUAUUGGCCCGCAGAGGAUCAGAAAUAUUUAUUGAGACGAUCAACAAUCUCAAAGCCUCGUUACUUCACACGCGAUUAACCAUGUUUCAUUAAAAAUCGAGCCAUCGAUCGAACUCAGCGACGAACUCUCAACGAGGAGUACGAGGGGGGCAAUCUUCCCGAAGAUUGUAUUUCCUAAUCGGCUGAUUGAACGAGAAAAAGAGAAAGAGAGAGAGAAAAGAAAAAGGAAAAACGAAAUGUAGCGAUGCCACGAAGCAAUCGUAACACCGGUCGAUUCUGUUACCACGACGAGACUGCGUGUGCAAGCGGUCGACAAACAGCCUUCGUCUCGUACUUUCUACCUUCGAGGCGAUCGAAGGCUCACGUUGCCGGAGACUCUCGCCUCGUCAUCAGACAAGUUAGAAAAAGAAAUCCUCGUGAUAAUCAGCACGAUGUCAAGGAGAAGCGACGAAAAAAGAGGAGAAAAACUGUUUGAGAUCAGAGUCUAAUUAACGAUGGGCAUACCGAUUUCGCAAACGCAAAUACGAGAAAUAUUCGACGAUAAAUUGCAGCUUUGCGUGGGCGUUACGAUUUCGUCAUGAACAUGAAUAACAUUCUCUUCUUUAAAAAAAGAAGAAGAAGAAAAAAGUUAUCGAUAUAAUUAAUAGAUUUUCUAAUUAUUAUUAUUACUAUUCAUUUAUGAAAUCUUGCCUUCACCCAGAUACUCAUUGACUCAUUUCACUGGCUGGAAUCAGUAUCAUUACGCGCUAUUCAUUUCGAAGAUAGAGGAUCGAGAGUCCGUUCGAGAUAUUGGCGGUAAAACGAUUCUUACAACGAUCUUGAUACGAUCUGCGAUACGUUUUGCAGUUUCGAAUUAAUUUCUCGGUGUUGAACGAAGAAGAAAAUCGUGACAAAGAAAAUCGCGACCAGAAGCCGUGGCUUGCCGUGGGUAUGCGAGGCGCAAACACAGCAUCGCGGGCAUGCAUUGGAACGGAACGUAACGGGCAUGACGGGAAAUACCGUACGUGUAUACACCUAUACCUGUGCGUGUAACUAUACGAGUGUGUACGUGUGCCGAGAAAGUGCAGUUGCAACUGCAGCUGACGCCUGCAACUGGCCAACGAACAAUUCCCACUGUUUCUAACGCCGGCUCCGUUACAAGAAAUUGCAGAAAUACCUUCCGACUCGAGGGCCAAAACUAUUUGAAGAUCGGCGGGAUGGAAAUUAAAAUUUUGGAUAUCAUUUUUUUUUAAUUUACGAAAAUUUUGCUGUUUGUUUUGAACAUUAUUAUUAAUUUGGAGGAAAUUAAAAGUUUUUGCAGUGGAUUAAGUUUAAUAAGGAGCACGAUAGAUAAAGAAUAUAUUUGAUAAUAAAUUAUUUGGAGAUUGGAUGUGGAAAAAUACUAUUGAAAUUGAUAUUGAAAUUUGUGAGAGAAUAAUUUUUUUAAUUAUGAAAAUGCCAUGUGACUAUGACAUAUCAAAAAUUAAUUAAAAACGAAA